GGCUUCAUCAGCUGGCAGGAGUCAUAGCCUAUGAGGUUCAACUGAGGCGUGAUUAUUGCUAAUUGAAAACUUUACCCAAUACCCACACCCAGCUGAUGAAGCCGCUAUCUGUGCGGCGAAACGCGUUCUGGUGGUUAUUUUAAUCAUGUUUUAAAUAAA
rnacentral:snRNA from 1 species